rnacentral:lncRNA from 1 species
GAGAAGAUAAAGGAACUAGGAAAGUUUAGGAAAGGCAAAGUUGAACUUAAAGCCCACGGCCAACCACUGUCUCCAACUGAAGACGCUUCCUCCACAGAGAAUCUGAGACAGGUCACCGUAACGGAUGAAACCAGUAGAACAUCUGGCUCUGACUACUCUGCCAGUAUAGAAUCAGAACCAGAGGCUGGGCGAGCUGUACAGAGGGGACGUAAGCCUUCAGUAACAGUGAUACCAUACACUCCUUCUGAUCCAUCCAAAGAGAACGAUAAUGUGACAAAACCAUUGAAAAGUGCAGAAGAAGCAUAUGAGGAAAUUAUUCAGAAGACAAAAGAUAUUCCAGGGGAGAGUCCUCCUGAUAUUGAGCCACUCUAUGGAGGAAUGGCAAUAGAGGACUAUCUUUAUGAAUCCUUGGUUGAGGAGCCUGAAAUUAAGAUGGGCGAAUCUCAUGAGGAAGAACUCAAACAGGAUACUAGCUCUGAGUGUCUCAAACAACUCAGGUCUCCAGAGGAGGUUUAUGAGGAGAUGAUGCAGAAAAAGAGAGAACUGAUAAUGAUAGAGCAAGAGUUUCAACAGUCCCAGACUGCCAUGGAAUCUUCCUCAUCAGGUCCUUCGGUCACUAGGACUCCUUCGAUUGUUGAGACUUGUGUGGUUACCAUGCCCAUGGAAGAGGCAUCACUCACUGAACACAUUGAUAUGUCUUUUACAGGCACUGAAACUUAUAGUGAAAUGCCAUUGAAGAAAAAGAAAAGGCCAGCUCCACCACGCCCCUCUGAACCCCCUAAGCGCUCUGAGGUUGGUGUUGUUGUCAGUAUGCCUGGUGGUUCUAUAGGUUUUGUUAGGCCUAUGGUUCCUCAAGAUCCUGCACUCAGAAGAGCAUUGUUCCCCAUACCAGAUCUCAAGAUUACUCAGUGUUCAUCUGGGGAGGAAGAGGAGGAUAGUCUUGCAGACGAGUAUGGUGUCGGUAUUUCCUCUGAUAUUACCCCCAGUGAUGAAUCUGAGAGUAAAGAAGAUUUAUCCAUCAGCCCACCUUUGUCUGAAACCUUUGAUAUGGAGCCUAUCUGUGUGGUCUGUGAAAUUCCAGAGCCAAAACCUAUUCCAACUCCAAUAUCAGCACCAGAACUAACCUCUACACCCUCCCCCAUAUCACCAAUGUCACUUCCAACUUCACCAGCUACUCCAGAUUCCAGUUUGGCCUCUAAUGCUACAUCUUCAUCCUCAUUCCAGGUGCAAACACCUCAUUCAUCAGAUUCAACUCCGCUCUCUACACCAACACCUCCAACUUCAUUUGUAACCCAAUCACCUCCAGAGAUCUUACCACCAUUGCCAGCCACAAUUGCAGCAGUAACGUCAAGUGGUGGCUCAGUCUCUCAUCCCACUCAAACCACAGUUAUAGUUACAAUACCAGAUGUGGUGUCUGAUCCAUCCAAAUCUCAAACAACUGCAGCAGUUCAAGUGAAGGCUUCUACAGCUGGAUCCCCAACUCCAGCCCAAGUGAGGAUGUCUACUUCUGUACCUGUUGUGGUUCAAAUGCCGGACUUGGUUUCAUUUCCAUCUCAGGUGCCUAUUGAGGCUCCUGCUGUUAUACAGGUCUCAGCUCAGAGUCCAGCACCUGUUGUUGUAUCAGCUCACCCUACAAACUUAGUUACAACUACACCUGUUGCAGUGUCCACUCCAACUUCAGCCCACAUAUUUUCUGCAUCUAUCACU